rnacentral:rRNA from 1 species
CGCAGCCGCGGUAAUUCCAGCUCCAAUAGCGUAUAUUAAAGUUGUUGCAGUUAAAAAGCUCGUAGUUGAAUUUCGGGGUUAGUAGGCUGGUCGUGCCACUGGUACGUACUGGUCUCACUGAUUCCUCCUUCCUGAUGAACUGUAAUGCCAUUAAUUUGGUGUUGCAGGGAAACUGGACUGUUACUUUGAAAAAAUUAGAGUGUUUAAAGCAAGCUAACGCUUGAAUACAUUAGCAUGGAAUAAUGAAAUAGGACGUUCGAUCCUAUUUUGUUGGUUUCUAGGAUUGACGUAAUGAUUAAUAGGGAUAGUUGGGGGCAUUAGUAUUCAAUUGUCAGAGGUGAAAUUCUUGGAUUUAUUGAAGACUAACUACUGCGAAAGCAUUUGCCAAGGAUGUUUUCAUUAAUCAAGAACGAAAGUUAGGGGAUCGAAGACGAUCAGAUACCGUCGUAGUCUUAACCAUAAACUAUGCCGACUAGGAAUCAGACGAUGUUAAUUUUUUUCAAUGACUCGUUUGGCACCU